rnacentral:lncRNA from 1 species
GUCCAAUUUGAUGUUUCGAAAGUAACGCUCCUCAUAGCGAGGAGGUGAAUGAGUACCAUAAUGGUCAUGGUCUCAUUCAUGAUUGCGCUCCUGUUCUCCAUUCCUUCGCCCAUGACGAACACGCUGUCGACCAUCAUGUCGAUGACGAUUGGGUAUGUUAUGAGACGAUUCAAAGUUAUCAGCAUCAGUUGAGGGAGAGGUUUGUUCUAAAUUGUUCACCCUAGCUGCUAGUUCUCUACUCUUUUCACGAGUAGCAGUCACCCCGGUUUGGACGGUUGCUAAUUGAGCCUGUAGUUGAGCUAAUUGUGGAGUAAUGACAUCAAAUUGAGAAGGGUCCAUGAUCACAGUAUUGGAAUUGGGUAUGACAAAACGACCACUACGCAAAUGCAUGCAACGUAACACUAACUGAAUGCAGUAAAUGACGAG